rnacentral:lncRNA from 1 species
CAAGGAAGAGAAAGAGAGAUAAUCCCUAUCAAAGCUUCUGGGAUUAUUUGGGACUAUACCUAAAAGGAAAGUGACAUCUUUGUAAUGGGAUUUCCCAAGUCAUGGAUAGAAAUCCACUUAAGUAGCUAGGUGGGAGCUGUCUUUGUGAGUGGUGUCUUUGAGAUACUGAUGGCCCUAAUAUCGGUUAUCUCUAUCUGAAGACCUGCAGUUUAGCUUUUCUUCACCUCUACUUAAUUGGGCAGUCUUUAACCCCUUUCCCUGGUGAACUCUGGCUUUUUAUCCUCUGAGAAAACAGCCCACAGGACUGGGUCCUCCUUAUCCGUCUUGCUUUUAACCUAUGUAAAUUUCUGUGGUUGCUAUCUUAUGUAAAAUAUAGUAAAAAUUUAUUGUAUAUAGUUUCUAUUAAAUGUUAAAGAAAAUG